rnacentral:lncRNA from 1 species
AAUGUUUGAGUUGAGAGAGAGAGGGGCCUUAAAGUUACAGUAAUUGGGCUCCUAUAUUGCGGAGCUUUCGUUCUAUAGGUUAUCGUUGUCUCUGCCAGGUUUCUCCUAGGACGUUAUGGACGUGUUGAACGAGAUCGGGAAAUGGUACAGAAAUGCACCUUGAGUGUGAGUCCACCGUUGAGAGAGAUGAAAGAAAAUAAAGAGGUACAUUAGUCUCCGAAUGCCAGAGAUUUCACGGAUCUUUUGCAAGCGAAACCGUAUAGCACUUGUGGGCCAUUACUGUUGAAUACCGGCAAUAAAAGAGGGUAAUUUCGAAGUGGCCUACGAGACAGCUACUGAAAGAGAAUGUUCAUGAUCGAGAACUUGCAGCUUUUAUCCUGCUUGUGAGAAAUGCG